UGGAGGUGCUGGAGAUCUAGCCCAGGGCCUUUCACGUGCAAGUCGAGCGCUCUACCACUGAGCUACACCCCC